rnacentral:rRNA from 1 species
GACGAACGCUGGCGGCGCGCCUAACACAUGCAAGUCGAGCGGAGAAAUUAAAGCUUGCUUUAAUUUCUUAGCGGCGGACGGGUGAGUAACACGUGGGCAACCUGCCCUUGAGAGGGGGAUAACACAGAGAAAUUUGUGCUAAUACCGCAUAACAUUUAGACUUCGCCUGGAGUUUAAAUCAAAGGAGUAAUCCGCUCAAGGAUGGGCCCGCGGCGCAUUAGCUAGUUGGUGAGGUAAUGGCUCACCAAGGCGACGAUGCGUAGCCGACCUGAGAGGGUGAUCGGCCACAUUGGAACUGAGACACGGUCCAGACUCCUACGGGAGGCAGCAGUGGGGAAUAUUGCGCAAUGGGGGAAACCUUGACGCAGCAACGCCGCGUGAGCGAUGAAGGCCUUCGGGUUGUAAAGCUCUGUCUUUGGGGACGAUAAUGACGGUACCCAAGGAGGAAGCCACGGCUAACUACGUGCCAGCAGCCGCCGUAACAC